rnacentral:rRNA from 1 species
UACGUAGGGUGCGAGCGUUAAUCGGAAUUACUGGGCGUAAAGCGUGCGCAGGCGGUUUUGUAAGCCAGGUGUGAAAUCCCCGGGCUCAACCUGGGAAUGGCAUUUGGGACUGCAAGGCUGGAGUGCGGCAGAGGAGACUGGAAUUCCUGGUGUAGCAGUGAAAUGCGUAGAUAUCAAGAGGAACACCGAUGGCGAAGGCAGGUCUCUGGGCUGACACUGACGCUCAUGCACGAAAGCGUGGGGAGCAAACAGG